GGGUCGAUGGUGUAGUUGGUUAUCGCAUCUGUCUAUCACACAGAAGAUCGUCAGUUCGAGCCUGGGUCAGCUCA
rnacentral:tRNA from 1 species